ACUCCUGCGGGAGGCAGCAGUGGGGAAUAUUGCACAAUGGGCGCAAGCCUGAUGCAGCCAUGCCGCGUGUAUGAAGAAGGCCUUCGGGUUGUAAAGUACUUUCAGCGGGGAGGAAGGCAAUACGGUUAAUAACCGUGUUGAUUGACGUUACCCGCAGAAGAAGCACCGGCUAACUCCGUGCCAGCAGCCGCGGUAAUACGGAGGGUGCAAGCGUUAAUCGGAAUUACUGGGCGUAAAGCGCACGCAGGCGGUCUGUCAAGUCGGAUGUGAAAUCCCCGGGCUCAACCUGGGAACUGCAUUCGAAACUGGCAGGCUUGAGUCUUGUAGAGGGGGGUAGAAUUCCAGGUGUAGCGGUGAAAUGCGUAGAGAUCUGGAGGAAUACCGGUGGCGAAGGCGGCCCCCUGGACAAAGACUGACGCUCAGGUGCGAAAGCGUGGGGAGCAAACAGGAUUAGAAACCCCUGUAGUCCCA
rnacentral:rRNA from 1 species